AACACUCUGAUGAAUAUCUAUAUUUUCUGACAUCUCUUAUGAACCGUUGUGAUUCAAUCAACUUAAUUAUUAAAUACUGAAGCU